GACGAACGCUGGCGGCGUGCCUAAUACAUGCAAGUCGAACGAACCGCGACUAGGUGCUUGCACUUGGUCAAGGUGAGUGGCGAACGGGUGAGUAACACGUGGGUAACCUACCUCAUAGUGGGGGAUAACAGUCGGAAACGACUGCUAAUACCGCAUAGGACAUAGGAUCACAUGAUCCAGUGAGGAAAGGUGGCGCAAGCUAUCGCUAAGAGAUGGACCCGCGGUGCAUUAGCUAGUUGGUAGGGUAAAGGCCUACCAAGGCGAUGAUGCAUAGCCGACCUGAGAGGGUGAUCGGCCACAUUGGGACUGAGACACGGCCCAAACUCCUACGGGAGGCAGCAGUGGGGAAUCUUCCGCAAUGGACGCAAGUCUGACGGAGCAACGCCGCGUGUGUGAAGAAGGUCUUCGGAUCGUAAAGCUCUGUUGUUAGAGAAGAACAGCGCAUAGAGUAACUGUUAUGCGUGUGACGGUAUCUAACCAGAAAGCCACGGCUAACUACGUG
rnacentral:rRNA from 1 species